CGGCUAGAUCACGUUGAAACACCAGUUCCCGUACGAUCACCGAAUUUAAGCAAUGUUAAACUUGGUCUGUACCUAGAUGGGUGACCGCUUGAGAAUACUAAGU